AUAUAAGGACAACCCUCUCUGCAACUGUUCUCACAACUCAGCAGAACAAGAAGGAAUCUUGGUGAUCCCAUGGGAGCUCUGGAAGGAGCUCUGACUUGUCUGUGGAUCCAGGAGAUGUGUCAGACUGGGGGGAAGGAGCAGCAUUUGCAGGUGUUCCUGUUUCCUUCGUGGAUGGAAGCUUCUGCAGCUGUCGCCGAGUGUUCGAAAGAAGCAAAUCCGAGACAGAUCUUCCUUGAUUCCUUUUUCGUGGCUCUGCUCAGCACUUCCUCCUUCAUCUCCCGAGAGCAGAUGUGCCGAGAGGCAAGGUCAGGAAGUGCUGUCCUUGAAUCCUUCCCCAGCCAGCAGCUCCCUGUGCUGCUCUCCGUGGGUGAUGUGCUGGGGGUGUGAUGGGACAGAUGUCACAUCAUCACUAGUCCUUGCACUGAUCUCCUCUGGAGGAGCUGAGCGUGAUCUGAAUGUCAUUUAUGCAACAGAGGAAUAACACACUGAUUUCUUGGUAUUUUAAGGAGCUUGUAGCAUGUCCUGGACUUGUCUGGUGUGCUGUAGGUGCUGAGGUAAUUGUGACUCCCCCCUCGGUGAGUUCCCACCCUGCACUGGCUCCUCUGUGCUCUGUUCCUCGCUCAGGAUGUCUCCUGGCAUCUC
rnacentral:lncRNA from 1 species